ensembl:snRNA U6 U6 spliceosomal RNA
GUGCUUACUUUGGCAGCACAUAUACUAAAAUUGAAACAAUACAGAGAUUAGAACAGAUCCUGUGCAAAGAUGAAACGCAAAUUUGUGAAGCAUGCCAUACUUUU